rnacentral:rRNA from 1 species
GACGAACGCUGGCGGCGUGCUUAACACAUGCAAGUCGAACGAAGUGGCGAACGGGUGAGUAACGCGUAAUCAACCUGCCCUUCAGUGGGGUACAACAGCUGGCAACGACUGCUAAUACCGCAUACUGAAGGUGGGGAUUUCGUCUGAUUAGCAAGGUGGGGGGGUAACGGCCCACCAAGGCGAAGAUCAGUAGCCGGUCUGAGAGGAUGAACGGCCACAUUGGGAAUGAGAAACGGCCCAGACUCCUACGGGAGGCAGCAGUGGGGAAUCUUCCGCAAUGGACGAAAGUCUGACGGAGCAACGCCGCGUGAGUGAUGACGGCCUUCGGGUUGUAAAGCUCUGUUAAUCGGGACGCGGUACCGGAAUAGAAAGCCACGGCUAACUACGUGCCAGCCGCCGCGGUAAUUC